rnacentral:rRNA from 1 species
GCCUACGACCAUACCAUGCUGAAUAUACCGGUUCUCGUCCGAUCACCGAAGUCAAGCAGCAUUAGUGCUCGGUUAGUACUUGGAUGGGAGACCGCCUGGGAAUACCGGGUGUUGUAGGCUUUU